rnacentral:rRNA from 1 species
AUUAAUAGGCGGAGGAAAAGAAACUAACCAGGAUUCCCCAAGUAGCGGCGAGCGAACAGGGAGAAGCCCAGCACGGAAUCCCACGCGUUGACGCGUAGGGAGAUGUCGUGUGUGGGAGGUUCCAUCAUCCCGGGGAUCGGCGGCGAGUCCAAGUCUCCCUUGAACGGGGCCACAGCUCGUAGAGGGUGCCAGGCCCGUAGAGACCGCAGCCCUUCCCGGGAGGAGCUCUCCUCAGAGUCGUGUUCCUUGAGAGUGGAGCACCAAGUGGGUGGUAAACUCCAUCUAAGGCUAAAUACGACCACGAGACCGAUAGCGAACAAGUACCGUGAGGGAAAGUUGAAAAGAACUUUGAAGAGAGAGUUCAACAGUACGUGAAACUGUUCAGGGGUAAACGGGAGAGACCCGAAAGAUCUAAGGGGAGACUCAAUCACCCACGCAACGACGGGCCACGGUGCAUUCCGGAUGUCUCCGGCCGCCGGUCAUGCCGCAAGGCGUGCGCCGGUUCGCGUUGGAGGCACCGGUUGUCCGUCGGUAACAUAUCCGUCUGCGGCGGGAUGCAAUUCUUCCCUGGAGACGUCGCGACCCGUUGGAGUGCCGGUCUAAGGCCCGGGAUGGAGCCCGAGGGAAUCGCCGCGGAAACGCGGAUCAACGGUUCCCCGGACCCCGGUCUCCCGGCCGGCGUCCGACGGUAGUCUUACGGAGAAGGCCCGCUCACUCGAGCGAGCGUCUGGCCUGUGGGGCAAGCUCUUCGGUGGCGUCGUGGUGCCGUGGCGUCUGCCACGUCCCCGACCCCCGCGAGGCUGUUGGUCCCCGGUGUCCUCGGACGGUAGCCGUCUCCCGUCAGCGGCGCUUAUGCUUUGGGUGCUCUCCCGACCCGUCUUGAAACACGGACCAAGGAGUCUAACAUGUGCGCGAGUCAAUGGGAUUAACUAAACCCAGAGGCGCAGUGAAAGCGGGGCGGACCCUUCGCGGCCGCCUUGGGAGGAUGGCUCUCCCUCGGGGGAGCCCGCACUCCCGGGGCGCCUCGGCCUAGCCGCAGGCGCACCCUGAGCGUACACGUUGGGACCCGAAAGAUGGUGAACUAUGCCUGGCCAGGACGAAGUCAGGGGAAACCCUGAUGGAGGUCCGCAGCGAUUCUGACGUGCAAAUCGAUCGUCAGAGCUGGGUAUAGGGGCGAAAGACUAAUCGAACCAUCUAGUAGCUGGUUCCCUCCGAAGUUUCCCUCAGGAUAGCUGGCGUCCAUUUGGACUGGGACGAGUCUCAUCCGGUAAAGCGAAUGAUUAGAGGCCUUGGGGCCGAAACGACCUCAACCUAUUCUCAAACUUUAAAUGGGUGAGAUCUCCGGCUUGCUUGAUUGAAGCCGAGAGAGCCACCGGAUCAGGGUGCCAAGUGGGCCAUUUUUGGUAAGCAGAACUGGCGCUGUGGGAUGAACCAAACGUCGGGUUAAGGCGCCUAAACCGGAGCUCAUGGGAAACCAUGAAAGGCGUUGGUUGCUUAAGACAGCAGGACGGUGGCCAUGGAAGUCGGAAGCCGCUAAGGAGUGUGUAACAACUCACCUGCCGAAGCAACUAGCCCUGAAAAUGGAUGGCGCUAAAGCUCCGUGCCUAUACCCGACCGCCGGCAGGCAAGGGCGUCGCGGCUUGUCCGUGGCGCGUGAAGCCCCGGUGAGUAGGAGGGCGCGGCGGUGAGCGCGGAAGGGUCUGGGCGUGAGCCUGCCUGGAGCCGCCGCCGGUGCAGAUCUUGGUGGUAGUAGCAAAUACUCAAGCGAGGGCCUUGAGGGCUGAUGUGGAGAAGGGUUUCGUGUGAACAGCCGUUGCACACGAGUCAGUCGAUCCUAAGCCCUAGGAGAAAUCCGAUGUUGAUGAGGGGUGCUUACUUACGUAACGUACCUCCUUCGGGCGAAAGGGAAUCCGGUUCCUAUUCCGGAACCCGGCAGCGGAACCGAACCGUCGGGCCCUCGCAAGAGAAGCUCGUCGGGGUAACCCAAAAGGACCCGGAGACGCCGUCGGGAGACCCGGGCAGAGUUUUCUGUUCUGCAUAAGCGUUCGAGUUCCCUGGAAUCCUCUAGCAGGGAGAUAGGGUUUGGAACGCGAAGAGCACCGCAGUUGCGGCGGUGUCUGGGUCGUCCCCUCGGACCUUGAAAAUCCGGGAGAGGGCUACGCGGAGGUGUCGCGCCGGCUCGUACCCAUAUCCGCAGCAGGUCUCCAAGGUGAAGAGCCUCUAGUCGAUAGACUAAUGUAGGUAAGGGAAGUCGGCAAAUUGGAUCCGU